UGUAUUAUAUGAAUAUAAAUUCCUAUAAAUGAGUCUUAUGAUAUAAAUGAAUAUAAAUUCCUAUAAAUGAGGCUGAUGGUAUAAGAGGCUGCCGGUAUAAAUGAGGCUGAUAAAUUCCUAUAAAUGCAUAUAAAUGAGGCUGAUAAAUGAUUAUAAAUUCAUAUAAAUGAGGUUGAUGCUAUAAAUGAGGCUUAUGAUAUAAAUGAAUAUAAAUUCCUAUAAAUGAGGCUGAUAAAUGAUAUAAAUGAAUAUUAAUGAGGCUGCUGGUGUACAAUACUCCCUGUGCAGCAGCAGCAGCGCCGGCUCAUUCUAAUGGUCCCCAGCCCUGUAUUUGGCUCCUAUUAUUGAGAAAGGCAUUUGAUUGGCUACACAAGGAGGAGGGGCAGUAGAAGCAGCAGCUGUUUCCCCUUCUCCUUUCAGCAUCAGUCACAUCCCAGUCCCCCCACCUUCCUUCACAAGCCCCUCCAUCCCUCUGUCUCCCAGGGCCGCAACAUGCUAGACAUUUUCCUCCUGAUGUUCUUUUCCAUCAUAGGCCUGGUCCUGCUCUCCUACAUCAUCUACAUAUUAUGAGCCCCGCCCCUCGGGUAUUAACCCUUGAUCACAGACAGACGGAUAUUGAGCACCUGAACCAUGAAACCUCCAUUGAAUGUAAAGGGUCAUUACAGGGGUGUAACUACAGAGGAAGCAGACCCUGCGGCUGCAGGGGGCCCAGGAAGAAUAGGGGGCCCCAUGAGGCCCUAACUCAUAUAUUAAUUCAAAAAUAAUUAGCCGUGGGGCUCAGUAAUAUCUAGUUACUCCACUGGAUCAUUAUGAGAAUUUCCUAAAGAGAAGAAGAUCUCUGAACGCUGGCUCCGUACGAUGCACAACAAGAUUGCGGCCAAACUCGUGAUCCAUUUCUUUAUAUGUUCUGGCGAAUGCAUUAGAAUCGUGUCGACCGAUAUUUACUAAUACUAUGAUAAAACAACAAGAAGCAAGAUCUUAUUUUGCUCCUCGUCCGGACAGAAACAUAACAAGUAACUGUUGGAGACGGUAACCCUGAGUGUCCUGCUUCUUUCCUACAUCUCCACCAAGUGGCAGCAAAACGAUAGAUUUCUCCAGCCGCCAGUUUGGUCGUCGUGUUCUCCCCAAACCAAAGGGAUUUCAAAAUUUGUUUCUGCAGUUUUAGCAAAUAGAACAACAAGGAGUUGUGUACAUGAAAAUAAAUAAAUAAACGCAGCUCAAUCGGA